rnacentral:rRNA from 2 species
ACGGGUGCGUAACGCGUAUGCAACCUACCUUCAACUGGGGGAUAGCCCGGGGAAACCCGGAUUAAUACCGCAUAACACAAUGAGGUCUCAUGGUUUUAUUGUUAAAGAUUUAUUGGUUGAAGAUGGGCAUGCGUUCGAUUAGCUAGUUGGCGGGGUAACGGCCCACCAAGGCGACGAUCGAUAGGGGAGCUGAGAGGUUGAUCCCCCACACGGGCACUGAGAUACGGGCCCGACUCCUACGGGAGGCAGCAGUAGGGAAUAUUGGGCAAUGGAUGCAAGUCUGACCCAGCCAUGCCGCGUGCCGGAUGAAGGCCCUCAGGGUUGUAAACGGCUUUUAUUCGGGAAGAAGAGCACGGAUGCGUCUGUGUGUGACGGUACCGAAUGAAUAAGCACCGGCUAACUCCGUGCCAGCAGCCGCGGUAAUACGGAGGGUGCGAGCGUUGUCCGGAUUUAUUGGGUUUAAAGGGUGCGUAGGUGGCUUUUUAAGUCAGUGGUGAAAUACAGCCGCUCAACGGUUGAGGUGCCAUUGAUACUGAAGAGCUUGAAACAAGUGGAGGCUGCCGGAAUGGAUGGUGUAGCGGUGAAAUGCAUAGA